rnacentral:rRNA from 1 species
UGGGGAAUUUUGGACAAUGGGCGAAAGCCUGAUCCAGCAAUGCCGCGUGUGUGAAGAAGGCCUUCGGGUUGUAAAGCACUUUUGUCCGGAAAGAAAUGGCUCUGGUUAAUACCUGGGGUCGAUGACGGUACCGGAAGAAUAAGGACCGGCUAACUACGUGCCAGCAGCCGCGGUAAUACGUAGGGUCCAAGCGUUAAUCGGAAUUACUGGGCGUAAAGCGUGCGCAGGCGGUUGUGCAAGACCGAUGUGAAAUCCCCGGAGCUUAACUUGGGAAUUGCAUUGGUGACUGCACGGCUAGAGUGUGUCGGAGGGGGGUAGAAUUCCACGUGUAGCAGUGAAAUGCGUAGAGAUGUGGAGGAAUACCGAUGGCGAAGGCAGCCCCCUGGGAUAACACUGACGCUCAUGCACGAAAGCGUGGGAGCAAACAGGAUUAGAUACCCUGGUAGUCCACGCCCUAAACGAUGUCAACUAGUUGUUGGGG